UUUCGGGCAGAUAACCGGCGAAUCAGCGAAGAAGAAGAAGAAACCCUAGUCGUCUCAGCUGAGGAGGAGCUCGCGAGAGCAGGACCGACCCUCCGCCGAUUGCUCCACGUCGCGCUCGCUCUCUCCUUCUUCGCUCGCUCUCGAGAUCCUCGUCCUUCUUCGGGCUCCGCCGUUUCCAAUUUCGGGUUUAGACAACCUUCUUUUUCCCUUUUAAAAGUGGAGCAACUGCUGCCAUGGGGAAGAAGAAAUCCGAGGAAUCUGCAUCGGUCGCGAAGGUCAAGGCAGGCAGCAAGGAAGGAGCAAAAGAUGGCAAGAGAGAGAAGCUAUCGGUAUCAGCCAUGCUAGCCACCAUGGACCAAAAGCCAGAAAAGCCGAAGAAGGGAUCGUCGUCUUCUUUGAGCAGUAAUGCUGGUAAAUCUAAGGCAAAAACGGCUUCAAAGCUCCCAUCUUAUACAGAUGGACUUGACCUUCCUCCUUCUGAUGAGGAAGAAGAAUAUGCGUCUGAUGAGGAAAGCAAACGACUCAGCCGGCAGCAGAGGUCCGAAGUAAAGGCCCUUGAAACAUCAGUAAGCGAGAAAGAGAUGAAGAAGAGAGAAAAGAAGGACACGCUUGCUGCGUAUGCUGUAGAACAAGCUAAACAGGAAGCUCUGAAGGAUGACCACGAUGCCUUCACUGUUGUUAUCGGUAGUCGAGCUUCUGUUCUUGAUGGCGAAGAGGAAGCAGAUGCUAAUGUGAAGGAUGUUACUAUUGACAACUUCUCCGUCUCGGCCAGAGGGAAAGAACUUCUAAAGAACACAUCAGUGAAGAUAUCUCACGGGAAGAGAUAUGGUCUGGUUGGACCAAAUGGUAUGGGCAAAUCUACAUUGUUAAAGCUGCUUGCUUGGAGGAAGAUACCAGUCCCUAAGAAUAUUGAUGUUCUUUUGGUGGAACAAGAGGUAACUGGUGAUAAUAGGUCCGCUUUGGAAGCAGUUGUAUCUGCCAAUGAAGAGCUGGUCAAGGUUAGACAAGAGGUAGCCAUAUUACAAAACGUAUCUUCUGUCGAUGGUGCUGAUGGAGAAGGUGAAGACAGUAAUGAAGAUGAUGCUGGGGAGAAACUGGCCGAGUUGUAUGAGAAAUUGCAGAUUUUGGGGUCAGAUGCUGCUGAGGCUCAGGCGUCGAAAAUUCUAGCUGGGUUGGGAUUUAGCAAAGACAUGCAAGCUCGUCCGACCAAAUCGUUCAGUGGUGGUUGGAGAAUGAGAAUAUCGCUGGCUAGAGCCCUUUUUGUGCAACCAACUCUUCUGUUACUGGAUGAACCCACCAACCAUCUUGACCUUAGGGCUGUUCUAUGGUUAGAGGAAUACUUGUGCAGGUGGAAGAAGACUCUUGUUGUUGUCUCACAUGAUCGAGAUUUUCUCAACACUGUGUGCACUGAGAUCAUUCAUCUUCAUGACCUGAAGCUCCACUUCUAUCGUGGCAACUUUUAUGAUUUCGAAAGUGGGUAUGAGCAGCGGCGGAAAGAAAUGAACAAGAAAUUUGAGAUUUAUGAGAAGCAGGUCAAAGCUGCCAGGAGGUCUGGAAACCGUGCUCAGCAGGAAAAAGUUAAAGAUCGAGCAAAGUUCGCUGCUGCCAAGGAAGCAUCAAAGAAUAAGGCAAAGGGCAAGGUUGAUGAAGAUGAACCAUUAGCAGAGGCGCCGAAGAAAUGGAGGGAUUACAGUGUGGAAUUUCACUUCCCAGAACCUACUGAGCUUACCCCACCGCUCUUGCAGCUAAUUGAGGUCAGCUUCAGCUAUCCAGGUCGAGAUGAUUUUAGGCUCUCGAACGUCGAUGUAGGUAUUGAUAUGGGGACUCGUGUUGCUAUUGUUGGGCCGAAUGGAGCUGGGAAAUCUACUUUACUGAAUCUCCUUGCUGCGGAUUUGGUUCCAACUGAGGGUGAAGUACGGAGGAGUCAGAAGUUGAGAAUUGGCAGGUACUCGCAGCACUUUGUGGACCUACUGACUAUGGAAGAAACACCGGUUCAGUAUCUUCUCCGUCUUCAUCCAGAUCAGGAGGGUCUUAGCAAGCAGGAGGCUGUCCGAGCAAAGCUUGGAAAGUUUGGUCUUCCCAGUCACAAUCACCUCACUCCUAUUGCAAAACUAUCUGGAGGUCAGAAAUCUCGUGUGGUCUUCACUUCGAUAUCCAUGUCAAAGCCACACAUAUUGCUGCUGGACGAGCCCACAAAUCAUUUAGAUAUGCAAAGUAUUGACGCUCUGGCUGAUGCACUGGACGAGUUUACUGGUGGAGUCGUCCUCGUGAGUCAUGACUCCAGGCUUAUAUCACGUGUUUGUGAUGAUGAAGAGCGAAGUGAAAUUUGGGUGGUAGAAGACGGAACCGUUAAAUUUUUCCCAGGAACGUUCGACGAGUACAAGGAGGAACUUCAAAGAGAAAUCAAAGCUGAGGUUGAUGAGUGACAUGCCAUAUAAAGUGGCCUAGUCCUCGCAGGACCCUAUCUGCAUUUCUGGGAGAAGUUAAGAAACAUUACCGCAGUAAUAGCCAUGAGAGAGGCAGGAAAUCCUGGAAUGUCCAAUGAGGAUGUGUGCAUUCUAUUCACCAGUCUUUGACAUGCUCUGCUUUUACUUGUAUAUGAUGCUGCCAAAGAUUUUGUCCCUCGUCACCUCUCAGGGUAUGAAACCUCAUCUGCCAUUGCCGACACCCGACUUGGAAGGGCCAAAAGGGUCAUACCCUGAGCAUCUCCUCGAUGAAGGGAGAGGUUUAUUUGUGAGGUGGCUAGGUGACAGAAAUCUUGGGUUUCUGUUGUGGAAUAUUUGUUUCUUUUGAUGUUGGACCGGUUUUGCAUGGUUUCGUUUUCAGAGCACGACAGAUUUCUGUCGCAAGUUAUCUGUACAUCAUAUAUGAGAGAGAUAGACGCAUAAAUAUUAUUUUUCCAUUCAGCUGCACAUAGAUGGUCAGCUUAUUGGAAGCUACAUUGUA